AAGACCUUGCGCUUUUGGAGCGGCCGAUGCCUGAUUAGCUUGUUGGUAAGGUAAAAGCUUACCAAGGCUUCGAUCAGUAGCUGGUCUGAGAGGACGACCAGCCACACUGGGACUGAGACACGGCCCAGACUCCUACGGGAGGCAGCAGUGGGGAAUUUUGGACAAUGGGGGCAACCCUGAUCCAGCCAUGCCGCGUGAGUGAAGAAGGCCUUCGGGUUGUAAAGCUCUUUCAGCCGGAACGAAACGGUUACGGUUAAUACCCGUGACUAAUGACGGUACCGGAAGAAGAAGCACCGGCUAACUACGUGCCAGCAGCCGCGGUAAUACGUAGGGUGCGAGCGUUAAUCGGAAUCACUGGGCGUAAAGCGUGCGCAGGUGGUUUUGUAAGUCAGAUGUGAAAGCCCCGGGCUCAACCUGGGAACU
rnacentral:rRNA from 1 species